rnacentral:rRNA from 1 species
UAGGGAAUCUUCGGCAAUGGACGGAAGUCUGACCGAGCAACGCCGCGUGAGUGAAGAAGGUUUUCGGAUCGUAAAGCUCUGUUGUAAGAGAAGAACGAGUGUGAGAGUGGAAAGUUCACACUGUGACGGUAUCUUACCAGAAAGGGACGGCUAACUACGUGCCAGCAGCCGCGGUAAUACGUAGGUCCCGAGCGUUGUCCGGAUUUAUUGGGCGUAAAGCGAGCGCAGGUGGUUAGAUAAGUCUGAAGUUAAAGGCUGUGGCUUAACCAUAGUACGCUUCGGAAACUGUUUAACUUGAGUGCAAGAGGGGAGAGUGGAAUUCCAUGUGUAGCGGUGAAAUGCGUAGAUAUAUGGAGGAACACCGGUGGCGAAAGCGGCUCUCUGGCUUGUAACUGACGCUGAGGCUCGAAAGCGUGGGGAGCAAACAGGAUUAGAUACCCUGGUAGUCCACGCCGUAAACGAUGAGUGCUAGGUGUUAGACCCUUUCCGGGGUUUAGUGCCGCAGCUAACGCAUUAAGCACUCCGCCUGGGGAGUACGACCGCAAGGUUG